AUUGCUAUUUCUAAAAUAUAUCAAAACCUAUGAACUAAAACACUCAUUUGUCAUUCUUCGGAAAAAAGCUACGGUCGCCGAACGAGUUGAACUCUCAAUUUCUUCCAAUUUCCGUGUUGUUUUCGUCAUCGAUUCGGUCGGUUCAUCUGGCGAUGUGUGGACAAAAUCAAAUCCACCGGGUAUGGUGCGUUCAUAUUAUUUUGGAAACUCACGAUUGUAUACCAUCUUUUAGCAGUCAAUGAUGGGGCAGUUGUCGCCCGGGCCCCGGAGAAAGGCAAGCAAAUUCAUAAUUAUUGCAAAAAUUUAUAAUGAAUCUUCUAUUAUUACAAAAAUUAAAAUAUUUAGUUCAUUCUUUGACAAACAACGUCGAGCCAGAUGUGGCAGCAGAGGAGCGGGUAAACCGUAGCUAUUGCAACCUGAUAACACCAGAAAUGAAGUGCAACAGGCGGCAUGCGAGAGUUUACGCUCGGGAAUAGUUUGCACAACACCAAGUAUUUGAGGCAUACGCCAAAGAUGAGUGUGGGCGUCUCGCUAUCAGCGUGAGGAGUAUGCCAGGCAGCAACAGUUUGAGGCCUUUCAGCGAGCCGAGCUACAGAGGUGGAGAGACGACCAUGCUCGUCAGAUGGCGGUGUAGGAAAAGAUCUUAAGUAAGUUUCAGCGUUUUCGUGACCCACCACCUUUCUGAUCAUGCAGCUGUGAGUAUGCAGUUUAUAACCUUUAUCUAUGUUUUUCCCCCAAACUUAUUUUUGAACUUUAUGCUCCUUAAUAAGUUUGGGGAAGGAGAAUAGAGAUUGGUUAUGUUUUGCAUCCAUUUUCUUGCUUUAGUUGCUUUAUUUAUUUUCAUUUGUUAUAUUAGCUCGUUGUGGUCUGUAUUCAUAGAGUUUGAGUCCUAGCUUGUACUAUAUUUUGAUUGAUGAUGUUGCUCGGAUCUGUACAUACCUACUUGCUGCUUUUGAUUAGUUUAUUACUCUA